rnacentral:rRNA from 1 species
GAUGAACGCUAGCUACAGGCUUAACACAUGCAAGUCGAGGGGUAGCAGGGUAGCAAUACCGCUGACGACCGGCGCACGGGUGAGUAACACGUAUCCAACCUUCCCAUAACUCGGGGAUAGCCUUUCGAAAGAAAGAUUAAUACCCGAUAGUACUUUAUUAAGGCAUCUUAAGACAGUUAAAGAUUUAUUGGUUAUGGAUGGGGAUGCGUUCCAUUAGAUAGUUGGUGAGGUAACGGCUCACCAAGUCUUCGAUGGGUAGGGGUUCUGAGAGGAAGGUCCCCCACAUUGGUACUGAGACACGGACCAAACUCCUACGGGAGGCAGCAGUGAGGAAUAUUGGUCAAUGGGCGAGAGCCUGAACCAGCCAAGUAGCGUGAAGGAUGAAGGUCCUAUGGAUUGUAAACUUCUUUUAUAGUAGAAUAAAGUGAACCACGUGUGGUUUUUUGUAUGUAUACUAUGAAUAAGGAUCGGCUAACUCCGUGCCAGCCGCCGCCGUAA